rnacentral:tRNA from 1 species
GUUAAAGUGGCUGAGAUAGGCGAUAAAUUGUAAAUUUAUUUACGGGGACACUCCUUUAACA